rnacentral:rRNA from 1 species
AUGAACGCUAGCGACAGGCCUAACACAUGCAAGUCAGGGGCAGCACAAGGAGCAAUCUGAGGUGGCGACCGGCGCACGGGUGAGUAACACGUAUGCAACCUGCCUGUAAGCGGGGAAUAACCCGUUGAAAGACGGACUAAUACCGCAUAAUACUAAAUUACUGCAUGGUAAUUUAUUUAAACAUUUAUGGCUUACAGAUGGGCAUGCGCAUGAUUAGCUAGUUGGAGAGGUAACGGCUCCCCAAGGCAACGAUCAUUAGGGGUUCUGAGAGGAAGGUCCCCCACACUGGUACUGAGACACGGACCAGACUCCUACGGGAGGCAGCAGUGAGGAAUAUUGGUCAAUGGACGAGAGUCUGAAUCAGCCAAGUCGCGUGCAGGAAGAAUGUCCUAAUGGAUUGUAAACUGCUUUUGCAGGGGAAUAAAGUGCAUCACGUGUGAUGUUUUGUAUGUACUCUGCGAAUAAGGAUCGGCUAACUCCGUGCCAGCCGCAGC